GUCUACGGUCAUGCCACCAUGAACGUGCCCAAUCUUGUCUGAUCUCGGAAGCUAAGUAGUGUCGGCCUGGUUAGUACUUGGAUGGGAGACCACCUAGGAAUACCAGGUGCUGUAGGCA
rnacentral:rRNA from 1 species